CUCCAAGAGGACGUAUGACUUAGAAUUUAAUGCAGAAGUGGUUACCAGCCAAGAAGGAAGGUAGGGAAAGAAAAUUGUCUGAAGUUAUUGGAUAAGAAUUGGAAGAAAAAGGGAAAUGAUGAGAAGACUAAAGAGGACAUGACUAUUUGUGAGACAGAUUGUCUGAAGAUGUUCUCAAUCCCAUGAUGCCGGGUCCAGAUUCAUCUCGGGAGUCAUAUCCUGUGUUGCCACAGAGAUUUACACCCCUGGGAGUCAGAUCCCACGUAGGGGGGAGGGCAGUGAGUUCACCUACUGAGGUAAGCCCAAUAACUUUUAAAAGUCACAAUAAAAGCAUUCCUAGUAGAACCCGGUCCCAGAGGGAGGCUAUCAAAUCUUCUGGGAGUGGUUUG